rnacentral:rRNA from 1 species
AAUAGAUACCCUGGUAGUCCACGCAGUAAACGAUGCAGACUAGGCGUGGGGGGACUUGACCCCCUCCGUGCCGCAGCCAACGCGAGAAGUCUGCCGCCUGGGGAGUACGGCCGCAAGGCUAAAACUCAAAGAAAUUGACGGGGGCCCGCACAAGCGGCGGAGCGUGCGGUUUAAUUCGACGCAACGCGCAGAACCUUACCAGGGCUUGACAUGCUCCUGCAGAGCCGGGAAACCGGUUGGCCUUCGAGGGUGGAGCACAGGUGCUGCAUGGCUGUCGUCAGCUCGUGUCGUGAGAUGUUGGGUUAAGUCCCGCAACGAGCGCAACCCUUGUCCUAUGUUGCCAGCGGGUAAUGCCGGGGACGUCGUAGGAGACUGCCGGGGCCAACUCGGAGGAAGGUGGGGACGACGUCAAGUCAUCAUGCCCCUUAUGUCCAGGGCUGCAAACACGCUACAAUGGCCGGUACAAAGGGCUGCUACCUCGCGAGAGUGAGCGAAUCCCACAAAGCCGGUCUCAGUUCGGAUUGGAGU